AAGCAUCUCCUGCAGUGAAGCAGCUGCUGCAGUGGAGCGUCUCCUGCAGCUGCAGGGAAAGUUCAAGCCUCCACCAUCUCCUCAGGCAGCGUGUCCCAGAUUGCAACCACCCUCUGGCAUCUGCGGUUCUUUGCUUUACACGUUGAUUUUGAUGUUGUGACCGGCCAACAACGAAUCAAAGGAGAUCAGAUACUUGGUGUCGUAAUCUACUGGGAUUCAAGUAACUAACUGUGGAAGUCAGAGAACCAGUUGUGACUGUGAGACGUGGUGUUGUGUUGGAAGCACACAGAUGGCCUGGGAUGUUCAUUAGAUGCAUCAAGAAGUUGCUGUGGAGACGGUGCAGGACGUUCCCCCCCGGUUACGGCAGGAUUCCCUUCCUGGGAACCGUUCCCAAGCGGAACAUGCGUCCGUGAACAGAGUUCCCACACGGCAGAAGAUGCCUGCAGCCCCGCAGCAGCCGGUAAAUCCAUCCCACCGUCUCCCAGACACUCGCUCAUGUGUACGGGCUGUACUUUACUGUGUCCGU